GCGCAGUACGCCGGCGCCGCUUGCAGGCUGCUGAGGGAGCGUCACCCGGGCGACCAUGCCGGCGCGGGGGGCGAAGUGGGGCCGCGUCGCGGACCAGCGGGUCCAGCAGCUGCAGCACCAAGUGCGAGUCAAAGAAGAACGAAUUGUUGAACUGGAAACUGAAAAUUCUAUUCUUCAUCUGAAGUUGGCAGAGUACCAAGAAAUGAUUGGAAAAAGUAACAGAGAGGCCACACGGUUUUACUUUCUGUACAACGAAAAGCAGUAUUUGCAGAGAAAUAUACAUUCCACGUUAAUCAAGCUUUACCAAGUAAUUCAGAAACUUAAACAAGAUAUAAAGGAGUUUCAUUCUUCUUGUCUGGAACUUAUAAGAAAUUAUCAAGAUCAGUAUCGGGUCUGUCUGUCUGAGAUAGUGACUGCAGUCCACAGAACACAGCUCUACAAUGAGGCCCUACAGUCACAUCAGUCAAGAGCAGUUCAUCUUGAGAAGUGCUUACAAGAAAUAAAUGAGCAAUAUCAAAUUGAAAAACAGAAGAGAAAAUUGCUUCACAAUAGUUUGGUGGAGCUGAAAGGAAAUAUCAGAGUUCACUGUCGAAUUCGUCCUUUGUUGCCUUUUGAUAAUGAAUUUGAUGAUCCAGUACAGAACAGCUCCCUCUGUGAAAAAGCAAUACAUGCAGUUGAUGAUGAAACAGUCCUGGUGAAAUGUAAUCGUCCUGGUCACCCUUUGAUUAAUAAGACGUAUAAUUUUGAAAGAGUUUAUGGUCCAGCAGAAUCUCAGAGAACAGUAUUUGGAGAAAUACGCCCACUACUCAUGUCUCUCUUGGAUGGGUACAAUGUUUGCAUUAUGGCUUAUGGACAGACAGGAAGUGGGAAGAGCUACACAAUGCUGGGACCACAUCUUCCAGAUGACCCUGCUCUGUCUUUAGACUCUCACGGUGAUUUAGGAAUUAUUCCCAGGGCUGCUGAAGAACUCUUCAGGCUUAUUUCAGAAAACCCAUCAAGGAGCCCAGAAGUUGAAGUUUCCAUAGUGGAAAUUUAUAAUAAUGAAAUUUUUGACCUUUUGGCUAAAGACAGUUGUACACUGGUGUCUGGGGUCAAGCGUGAUGUGAUUACCACCAAAGAAGGAAAGAAGGAGCUCUCCCGGCUGACCUACAAGAGCGUGAGCAGUGCAGUGGCUCUCAUGGGGCUUGUGGCCGGGGGCCUGCGGCUCCGGGUGAAGCACCCCACCUUGGUGCACACGGACUCCUCCAGGUCCCACCUGGUGAUCACAGUGACGCUGACGGCAGCCAGCCCGCCUGACAGCUCCCACCAGCAGCCAAACCCGAUGCUCAAGGAGCUCAUCUGCCCCUCAGCUCCACGGACGGCAGGAGGCGAGGGACCCAGGGCUUCCCGCAGAGCCUCGUCCCCAGGGGCAGGUCCCGUGGGCGCUGCGGGGCCACCGAGGCAGGCCCAGGCCAGGCUGCAGCUCGUGGAUCUGGCUGGCAGUGAGUGUGUUGGUGCGUCCGGGGUGACGGGACUGGCCCUGAGGGAGACGUCGUGUAUCAACCGGAGUUUGGCCGCCCUGGCCGACGUUCUGGGAGCCCUGGCGGAGCGCCGCGGCCACGUGCCCUACCGGAACAGCAGGCUCACCCACUUCCUGCAGGACUCCAUCGGGCACGCGGGCUUCCGGAUUCUGAACUCCAUGACUUGACCUCCCCACUGAGCCGCUCUGGGCCCCUCGGACAUGCCUGCACUGGGGAGCGGUGGCCCAGGGCAGGACAGGGAGCCCACCCCGGUGGCCCAGCAAGCUCCAGGAGCUGAGGGGCAGCAGGAGGGAGGGAAGGAGCAGGACUGCGCACACCCGGUUUUUCCUACCCAAUUUGGCCAGCAGAUGAAGAGGCGACGCAAAGUUGCUGGUGAUGCUGUGUGUGUCCCCCUGCCAAAAGCACUUGGCAGAAACGCUGCAGUGCCUGGGAUUUGGAAGCCGGGCCCGGCAG